CACACAUAAAGGACAAAUAAGCUCAAGAGGAGGAUCUAGAUGCUUUCAGUUUUAACUAUUCACCAAUAGUGGAAAAGGCAGAAUGUCUAAGCUAUGGCUUGGUGACCAAUAGGGUAGCUGUGUAUCUCUCACAUGACUCACUGCCCCUGUCUUUCACAUGGGCUGUAAUUUAGUUCAAUUCAGAACUGCAGAUAGUACGGCUUCCACAGGAGCAAGGGAUGCCUGAGCAGAAGUGGCUGAGUUCCUAGUGACUUUACGAAGGACUUCUCCGCCUUCCUGCGGCACGAAAACAGGGAUUCUGCACCUGCACUGGGGACGGGCUGGUAAAAGCCUCUGCUCUGCCUCCGGGGACCAGGAACUACAGCAAAUAACCAUGUUGAAAUUGCGGUGGUGCUGGGCUCAGGCAGAGCCUUGAGACGCUCGGGCCUUUGACUCUCCUGAGACUCUGACUGUGGCUGUUUCCACACUCCUUCCACAGGACCUGCCUGCAGAGCGGCGCCCCCCUCUAGUCAGUUGAUGCCUCCGCCCCCUUUGCUGUGCUCUCAGCCAUUUCUGCUUAGUUAGGACUUUGCUUCAUCCUUAAAUUGUGUGUGCAGCUUGGGGUUGACACGCAGAGCCAGUGUGUCUCGGUGGUUGUUUUCUAAUUUUAUAUUUUUAAUAGUAAAGGAAGUAGAGUUAACAGGACAGACGUGACAAUAAAUAGAGGCAGAUGCAGAUGUCUGGCAUUAUGAAAAUCGGCAGUGUUGCAAUAGUAAGAUUGCUUUGAAUUUGGGCAGCUCUUACUUGUAACUCCUAAAGCGAGCUCUCUUUAGUGUGGAAGGUUUUUCUCUCUCUCUCUCUCAACUCAUCACUGAAGGUGGACUCUCAGUUCAUUCUUGCGGUUCUUACUUGAUUUGGUAUAUUUCCUGUAGGGAAGUCACUGUUUUAAUUUAAAGGGACUAACUUCUCUUUCAGCAAACGUUGGAGUAGAGAAACAAAGCACCAGUAUGAAAAAAGAAGAUUAUGUCAGUAAAAAUGUGAGGGUAUAAAGUGUACUAGAUAAUCUGAAAUUAGAAGAAUAUGUCAAAAGUUUGGUCUAGACAUUUUUAUCAUCGAAAUGAAUUAUCUAAAAGCUCAAAUGUAAUCCCUGUGUGAUUAAAAAACACAGAAAUAAAAUUUCCUGUUAAGAUUUUUAAGUAUUUAUUUAAGUCUAUUGCUGUAGAAACAUUUAUAAAAGAGACAUAUUUCAGUGAUUUGUGUAAUUGCUUGAUUGCCUUGUUACUGUUAGUCAUGUACCAGGAUAUUAUUCAGAAUAUACUGGAAGAAAAUGAAACACUCAAUCACUAUGCUGGUUAUUGUGAGCCACUUGAAAAAGUGCCUCUUGUCUGGGAAAGAGUUAACAAUUUAAUCUAAAAACAGUGAGAAGGGAUAAAUUCAUUCUUUGGAAAGGCUGAGGACAGAAAGGGGUUAAUUUUUAAAUCUUUGUGAAGGGAGGGGAGGACCCUGGAAGAUAGAAACCAAACUAAAGACUAAGCUGCUAGUGAUUUGGUUGUAUUUAUGGAUUAUACUACAUGUUGAAAAGAGGAAAAUCAGAGCUGUAAGAUGACGCUGCAGGGGUCGUCUGGACUUUUCACUGAGUCUAAAGUCUGUUUAGUCAAUGCUUAUUAAGGCCUGGUUUUGACCUUUGCCCUCCGCAAUCUUCCUUGUUCCAGGUGCAACAUUUUUGAAAGUGCUUUACCAUUUUUGGACAUUAUGUGCAAGCAUGUAUGUUGGGCAUAAAAAUAAUCCACAGUAGUUAUGAUACCCACAUCUUUACACAGCUGUGUAAUCUUACACCCACUUCCUUCGCAAAUAAUGAGCAGUGGCUAUGUUCUUCUUUAAGAUAAAACCAGGGAUAUUCAAGCAUCUCAUACAUCUAAAACAGAUUUAUU
ensembl:lncRNA